rnacentral:rRNA from 1 species
AUUGAACGCUGGCGGAAUGCUUUACACAUGCAAGUCGAACGGCAGCACGGGAGCAAUCCUGGUGGCGAGUGGCGAACGGGUGAGUAAUAUAUCGGAACGUGCCCGGUCGUGGGGGAUAACGUAGCGAAAGCUACGCUAAUACCGCAUACGAUCUACGGAUGAAAGCGGGGGAUCGCAAGACCUCGCGCGAUUGGAGCGGCCGAUAUCAGAUUAGGUAGUUGGUGAGGUAAAGGCUCACCAAGCCGACGAUCUGUAGCUGGUCUGAGAGGACGACCAGCCACACUGGGACUGAGACACGGCCCAGACUCCUACGGGAGGCAGCAGUGGGGGAAUAUUGGACAAUGGGCGAAGCCUGAUCCAGCAAUGCCGCGUGAGUGAUGAAGG